GACGACGCUGGCGGCGUGCCUAACACAUGCAAGUCUGACGGGAAAGUCUCCUUCGGGAGACCGGUACAGUGGCGGACGGGUGAGUAACGCGUGGGAAUCUACCCGGUAGUGGGGAAUAACCCCCCGAAAGGGGAGCUAAUACCGCAUAAGCCCCAAGGGGUAAAGAUGGCCUCUUUCUAAUGCUAUCGCUUCCGGAUGAGCCCGCGUCCUAUUAGCUAGUUGGUGAGGUAAUGGCUUACCAAGGCUACGAUGGGUAGCCGGUCUGAGAGGAUGAACGGCCACACUGGGACUGAGACACGGCCCAGACUCCUACGGGAGGCAGCAGUGGGGAAUUUUGCGCAAUGGGGGAAACCCUGACGCAGCAACGCCGCGUGGAUGACGAAGGCCUUCGGGUCGUAAAGUCCUGUUCUGGGGAAAGAAUAAGUAAAGGGCCAAUACCCCUUUACCCUGACGGUACCCCAGCAGAAAGCUCCGGCCAAUUAUGUG
rnacentral:rRNA from 1 species